AAUACACAUUUCCUGGAUUAAGAUACUGACAUUUUGGGGUUGUUUGUUAAGCAUUUGGUGUUUAAUUUAUAAGGUAAACUAGAGUCUCUUCAUCACCAACACUAUUCCAGAGUGUGAGAAUGCUGCCUCUGACAGAACAGGUGAUAAGGAGAAGAAAGGCCGAGCCCCAGAAGUCAAGGUGGCAGAAAGAAGAAAGGAGCUGUGAUGAAAGGCUAUUUUGUUGGAAAAAACAGAAAUUUCCUCAAGGAAUGGGUUUGUUAUCACAGAGCUCCAGCCCCAUCAUCCCUCUUCUGUACAUAUCCACUUACUCUUCCAGCAUGAGGCCCUCAGAUGCGGAGCAGAUGCCAGCCUCCUGAACUGGAGCAGUUGUGUUCUUGUGCCAGAUAUGACUGAAAUUGUAUUGAUGAAUGUCGGCAACCACACCUUAUGUCUCAUGGUUUUGGAUUCAGUUUGAUUUAUGACAUUACUUUCAAAGCUUCCAUUCCCAGAAGUAAACAGAGUCAUCAGACAUGAAAUCUGGGAAAAGAGUGUCAGUUCAGUUUACCAAGUUCAAGGCAAGGAACUAUUAAUGACUCUCAAACUACGAUGCUCAAUUCUUUUUCACCGGAGCACUGACCAGUCACCAGAGGAGCAGGGAGUGGGAGAGAGGCAUGCAUGUGACUACUGGAGGUCUGAGGAGCAGCAUUCAUAAGCCUGUGAGAGAACUGGAAGAGCUACGUGGACUCUGUCAUUUGCAAAGAAAAAAUCAGGUGAAUAAAUGUGUUCCACGUAGAAAGGAAAUCCCUGAAAAAUGGAUGGAUGUUAUAAUUAAUAAUAUAUCUGCCAAUUGCUGAGAACUGACCUCCUCAUCUUAAACACAUCAUCUUAAGUGGGUUUUGCACACUCUCUCAUUUAAAUAUAGCGAGAAUGCCCUGCUCAUCAAAGUAAAUCCAGAAGAAUAGAAAAUUAAAAUUCUAAGAAAAACAGGACGAAAGGAGUUUCAGUCAGAAAUUAAAAUGUUUUUAGCAGCUAAAAGUAAACCAAACAGAUGCUAAUCUUUAGGCUGGCUCUUUUUGAAUAAAUACAUAUGUAAAGCACAUAUUAUUUCUCCUUUAUUCUGUUAGCACUAAGCCAAGCAGUAUACCUGUCUUGUCUAUUUUAGUCAUCACUAGAAGUCUAAAAUAUAAAUAUCUUACAAGUAAACUGAAGCUACAAUAUAAUAUUUUGAGGAAAUAGCACAGGUAGAUCUUGAAACUACAAUGAUUUCUCCCCCGGCUGUGGAUUUUAACCAUAAUAUCACUGUUUCUGAUUUGUUAUUUUCUCUUUCUACCUGAAUCUGGUUAGUUGGAGAUAAUUCUUUUCUUGCCCUCCCCAACAAAUCUGACCUUGUGCCUAGCUAUUACUAUUAACACAGACCAUGAAAUAAAUAAUCAGGUAUAUCAUCAGGAUAGAGUUUCCAAAACUGCUCUUCUCUUAAGGUACAACUUGAC
rnacentral:lncRNA from 1 species